rnacentral:rRNA from 1 species
GACGAACGCUGGCGGCGUGCUUAACACAUGCAAGUCGAACGAUGAAGCCGGAGCUUGCUCCGGUGGAUUAGUGGCGAACGGGUGAGUAACACGUGAGCAAUCUGCCCUUGACUCUGGGAUAACUGCGGGAAACUGUAGCUAAUACCGGAUACGACACCUUGGGGCAUCCCAGGGUGUGGAAAGAAUUUCGGUCAAGGAUGAGCUCGCGGCCUCUCAGCUAGUUGGUGAGGUAAUGGCUCACCAAGGCGACGACGGGUAGCCGGCCUGAGAGGGUGACCGGCCACACAGGAACUGAGACACGGUCCAGACUACUACGGGAGGCAGCAGUGGGGAAUAUUGCACAAUGGGCGAAAGCCUGAUGCAGCAACGCCGCGUGAGGGAUGAAGGCCUUCGGGUUGUAAACCUCUUUUAGCAGGGAAGAAGCGAAAGUGACGGUACCUGCAGAAAAAGCACCGGCUAACUACGUGCCAGCCGCCGCCGUAA